rnacentral:misc_RNA from 1 species
GAUCGAUCUCGGGUGGGGGAGCGCGGUCUCAUGGUGGCGCACAUCGUCGCACGGCCGCCGCAGCUCGCUUGAGCUCACGGCUGCUCCGAAGCGGCCGCCAUUUUGAUCGUCCGUCCCAUGGCGGCGCGGCAGCGUGAUGAGGAGCGCACCUAGGCGCCGGCCAUGCAGCCACCCGUCGGCGAGUUGCUCCUCGUGCUGCUGCUCUGCCACGCGGCUCCCUCGCCGCUGCUCGCCGCCCGACGACACACCAGGGAGGCAGAUUCGGCCUUUGAUGAGCUUCCAGACAACAGCCGGUUACUAGUGGUGGACCGGCUGAAGCGGUACCCGGAGAACGAGCGACUUAUUGCUAGCAUUCCGAGCCGCAUCUAUGAGGUGAUCUACCCAGUUCAGGUGCGCCACCACCAGAAGCUGGGCAUUUCCACCAGAGACACCACAGCCAACAAGACAAACAAGCAUUUUCAUCAAACAUCAUUGCUCAUCAAGGCAUUUCACUACAAAUUUCGCUUGGAACUUGAGCUCAAUGACUACCUUCUUGCCCCCAAGAUGCUCCAGAAGCACCUCCACAUUGAUGGCAUCUGGCAGCUGUCAAGUCAGGAGGUGGAGCACUGUUACUACCAUGGCACCAUCAAGGACUACCCCGGUGCCGUGGCUGCUUUUCGUACCUGCAGUGGAAUCAGUGGCAUCAUCCACAUUCGGAAUGAGACCUUUGUCAUCCAUCCAUUCUAUGGAGGAGAUCUGUCGCGGGUCCACCCCCAUGUCAUCUACAAGUACUUCAACGUCAACAAGAACCCCUACAUCUGCGGUAACUCGCGCAUGCACGAGUGGGGCUUCAAGCACUUCCGCAAGACUCUCCCACCUCUGCCCAGAUACAAGACUAGAAUCCAGCCUCGGGCUGACAAGAGAGACGUACGAGAAGUGUACAAAUUUAUUGAGCUGGCCCUUGUACUUGACCAAGCUAUGUUUGAUGCCCGUAACAGCACCCGUACGGAGGUGAUGAGCGAUGCCAUACAAAUAAUCAACUGUGUAGACAUGUACUUUCGGACGGUGAAUACACGGGUCUCGAUUGUCUACCUGGAGACGUGGGCAACGGGGGACCAGGUGGAGCACACGACUGACAUUCGCCAGGCCCUGCUCAACUUUGUCGACUACUCCGCCAAGAAUCUGUACAAGCAGGCUGUUGAUGCCACUCACUUGCUCACUGGUCGCCACUUUCCGAGUCGAGAGGUGGGCAUGGCCAUACCCGACACCGUGUGCACAGCAAAGGCUGUGGGAAUAAGCCAGGAUACAAACGUGUACGAGCCCCAUCUAGUGGCCAGCACUGUGACUCACAUGCUCGGCCACAAUCUCGGAAUGAGCCAUGACGAUAGUGGAAGCUGCCAAUGCCAGGACUCGUGGGGUUGCAUAAUGGCACCUGGCAUUCUAGGAACCAACCACAUCCAGCCGUACCACUUCUCAUCAUGCAGCCUGGAAGAGUACAUAAACGCACUGCGCAUCGGCCAUGGCAUCUGCCUUUUCAACAAGCCUGGCCAGGUUCUUUUGGACUGCGGUGACCUUCAGGGACCUUCGUCAGUGCCCAUUCACUGCACACCGCUGGCAUCUCAUGGAAGUACUGACGAAGGCGUGACAAAGCUUGAAGACUUCCGCUCCUGUGGCAAUGGCAUCAAGGAACAGGACGAAGACUGCGACUGUGGCACUAUGGAGGAGUGUGCGAAGUCUGACCCCUGCUGUGACCCAAUCACAUGCAAACUGCGUGUUGAAGCAAACUGUUCUGCAGGGCCAUGCUGUGAGAAUUGCAAGUUGCGUGCUGCUGGCCAGCUUUGUCGCAUCCCCGAGUCUGAAUGCGACAUUCCCGAGUUCUGUGAUGGCCAUUCUGGGGAGUGUCCAGCCAACAUCUACAAGAAGGCUGGCCAGGAAUGCAAGAAAGGCAGUGGUUUCUGCUACCGGGGCAAGUGUCAUACAUCUGAUGAACAGUGCGAGUUUAUCUGGGGCUUUGGAGCACGACGCUCGGAUGAGAAAUGCUUUGGCGAGUUCAACGUGCAGGGCAGCAUGAGUGGCAACUGCGGUCCCGACGGGCGGAACGGCUACAUCAAGUGCAGCCGGGAGCACAUGAUGUGUGGCACACUGCAGUGCCAGCGAGGUGCUCGUGCCCCCAUUGUCCUCGGCAUGGAGAAGCUCUACACGCGCACCAUCAUCUCCAUUGAGGGCUCCGAGUUUGAGUGCAAGGUGUCCACAGGGUCCCUUUCUGGGGACAUUCCAGACAUCGGCAUUGUUUGGGAUGGAACAAAAUGCGGACCCUCCAAGAUUUGUGUGAACAAGUCAUGCCUUCCAGUUGAGCACUUCCGGGAGCUGGGAGUCUGCCCUAGCAACAACCUGGCACUCGCCUGCUCAGGCCAUGGUGUGUGCUCCAAUGUGAACACGUGCUACUGUGACGAGGGCUACCUGGGGCCUGACUGCAGCCAGCGGGCCAAUGCCACUGAGGCCCCGCCCUCGCUGGUGCCCCCUCCUGCUACAGAUGUCACGCCACCAACGCCUCCUACCUCCACAGAUGCAUCAAGCCGGUCCAACAAGAGCUCUAGGACAACAUCUUACGUGGGCAGGAAGGAUGCACUGAGCACCCCUUCGCUGGUGAUUGUCCUUGUGUCGGUGGUUGGUGGCGUCUUCAUCUUCUUUGCCCUCCUGGCCACUUGCUACAGGCGGAGUACCAUGCCCAAGCUAGAGCAGGCCCCAGGGGCGCCCAAGAAAGGCUCAGCCCGACACAAGGCACCACUGACUGCAGCCAAGAAAGAGCAUGAGGACGCUCCCGGACACCAUGCCUCGACCACCCUGGACAGCCGCAUCAUCACCUUUGGGAGCAUGCCUUCCUACAGGGAAGACAAGCUACAGGAGCUGAAGCGGAAGGAGCCAGAUGAGGCGGACGAGACGUUCAUGGAGCUUUCACCUAAGGACUUGGCCAAGGAUGGCGGCUGGCCGCCACUGGCCUCUGCUGCAGGGGGUGACACGCUGAGUGAGGUUGAGCGCACGCUCAAGAGCCUCAAUGGCUACCACGAGGAGAUCCUGGAGGCGCUGCACUCAGCCUCGUCACAUGCUAGCCCAGGACAGGAUUCGCGGCGGGACCUGCCACGUCCCGAGCCUUGCAUGGCCGAUCCUGCCGAGCCCAUCCGUAUCCGUAACCUGGAAGAUCUGCUGCGGCAGCUUGAGCCCGGUCCCUUGGAGCCGAGUGGGUCGGAACGGCUGAGUGAGCCUGAGGCAGACCGGCACUACCUGGAUGGGGGCUCGCCUUACGGCCUGCGCUACCUGCUGGAAGAUGCAUACGCGCAGCCGGACGAGGAGGACGAAGACGACGAGGAGAGUGAGGACACUGGACGGGGCACAGAGCAGCGGCAGCAGACUGGCCCCACGCGGCGCCAGCGGUCGGCAAGUGAAGAGGCCCUGCCACUGGCAUUUCCAGCCGGUGCACUGCCCAGCCCACCAUCGGAGGAGUCCGGCUCCUUGGAGGAGAACUUUCGACCACCACCGAUGCUGCUGCCCGGACCACCGCCACGCCGCACUCGGCCCAAGAAGAAGUUUCCCGAGUACAAGGUGUAGCACACUCCUCCCUUGACGGCACGACAGCAUUUGGAGUGUGUUGGAGGGCAGACUUAAAACAUAAUGUUUUGCGAGGGCACAAGGUGAAAGAUGCUGCACAGUAUAAGAUGCCUCCCGGGGAUGCUCACCGGAGGAACUACUACAAGUGAGGCCGCGGCCGGGACCGCGGGGCGCCGCCGCCGACCCUGACUGCACUGCCGCCCCCCUCCCCAUCCUGCACUAGUCGUCGUCAUCGUAGCACGCCGCUAGUCUCAUUAAUCACACGUCAGCAGUGUUGAGUCUGUAGGCAUGCGAUGCUCUCUCCUUUGUACUCAUGGAUGCAUUAAAAUGACAACCCUUUCA